rnacentral:rRNA from 1 species
UAUGAUAAUGACAUUUUAUGCCUAUGUGUCUUGACCAAAUUACGUGCCAGCAGUCGCGGUAAUACGUAGAAGACUAGUGUUAUUCAUCUUUAAUAGGUUUAAAGGGUACCUAGACGGUAAAUCAAGCCUUAACCCAAGGGACUAUUUUACUAGAGUUACAUGUGAGGGGGUUCUAAAGUACUGCUGGUGUAGAGAUGAAAUUCUGUCAUACCUAUAGAGAGAAAAAGUACGGCACAGGUAUAGGCGAAAGCAUCUCCUUAUGUGAUAACUGACGUUGAGGGACGAAGGCUUUUGUAGCGAACAGGAUUAGUUACCCCAGUAGUCCAAGCAGAAAAUGAUGAAUGUCAUAGAUUAGAUAAAAAGAUUUAUUCUAUAAAUGAAAAUGUAAGCAUUCCACCUCAAGAGUAAUUUGGCAACAUUGGAACUGAAAUCAUUAGACCGUUUCUGAAACCAGUAGUGAAGUAUGUUGUUUAAUUUGAUAAUCCGCAAAAAACCUUACCACAAUUUGAAUAUUUAUAUUUUAAUAUAUUUACAAGCGUUGCACGGCUGUCUUCAGUUAAUGUCGCGAGACUUUGGUUAGUUCCAUUAAAUUAACGUAAACCCUUACUUUAUUUUUUAUAUAAAGUGGUUCCCCACUAUAUUGGAUAUGAUAACAGGGACUAAGACAAGUCAUCAUGGCCUAAAUAUUGUGGGCUAUAGAC